CACUUUUGUCCGUUAAGAGGACAUCUGGAGCAACGAUGACGUCGACAAAUCACACGUCCAAGCCUCCUAACCGUAGUCUUGCUCACUGCACUACGGGCGGGAUCGUCCACUGACGUCAGGCGUGCUGUUGCAGCUGGACAAGUUACCUUCACCGAGUAUAUGAUCCAGGAAGCGGAAGGAGGAGUUUUUGUUACAUAAUUGUGCCUUAGAAUGGUUUGCAUCAUUGCACCAAUUUUUUUUAUCCAAUUCCUAGCAGUUCAGGAAAAAAUGCACUUUGAUAAAAGAUACAACUCAACUUGACCCCUUUUCCACUCUGAAUUUAGCGGAAAAUGGAAACAACUCAAACAAAGUCAACAUGACUCCGUUGAACAUAUUGUUGAUAGGAGAUAACUUAACUUGUGUUUUUAUGUAUCGAUUGUAAAAAGAAUCAAGUCAACUAAA